AUACUUACCUGGCAGGGGCAAUACCAUGAUCAAGAAAGUGGUUUGCCCAAAAUGAGGCCCAGCCAUUGCACUCAGGCUGUGCUGACCUUUGCGAAUUCCUCAAAUGCAGGACUCUCGACUGCAUAAUUUAAAUAGUGGGGGACUAUGUUUGCAUUCUCCUCUU